GCAAGCAGUUUUGUGUGUGUGUGUGUGUGUGUGUUUUUAAUGACUAGCCCAGGGUCACACAGCUAGUCAGUGUCUGAGGCUGGAUUUGACCUUGGGUCUUCCUGACUCCAGGCUCAGUGCUCUGUGCCCCAUUCUAACUAGGGUCUUUAACGCUUUCUCACUUUCAUUGGGCAGGACUUACCAUGUCCAAACCUGCUGUGAUCCGUCAGUUGGAACAAGGGGAAGUACCGUGGAUGCCCGACGGAGACGCCUCAGGACGCUGCUGUCCAGAUUGGGAUAUUAGUCCUGGAAUCACAUACUGUGCUCCAAACUUGGACGUUUCCACAGAACUGUCAUUGCAGAAAAGUCUUGGAAGGAAGGAUCUCUUCAUCUCCAACUUGGGAGAAUCCUGGGAAUGUGAUGCUAGGUUAGGGAAGCAACCGGGUAGGAAGGAGAAACAUUCUGGGUAAGUAAGAAUCACCCAACAAAGUGAGAAGCCAUGAGGAUAGUGACCCUAGAGGAAGCUUCACUGCAGGACCAGUCUUCUUUUCCAAAUAGAGAAGAUGCAUAGGGAAGAGUCUUCAUAAUUGCUACUUACACACAAAGAGCUUCAGGAAAGUGUCAUGAAGGUGGUUAACAUUUCAGUUCUAAGUUAAAUCUUAUUACCUUUCAUAGAUCAUGUCCUGGAGAAAAACAUUAUAAAUAUGGAGAAUAUUGAGAAAUCUUCAGAAGGAGCCCAGAUAUCAAUUACUCUAAGUCAGUUGAUACCCCAUAAAGAGAAGCCCCAGAAAAAAAAAACAGAUAAUAAACGUCUGAAGGCUUUCCCCCA
rnacentral:lncRNA from 1 species